UUCCGGUUGAUCCCGCCGGACCUGACUGCUAUCGGAUUGAUACUAAGCCAUGCGAGUCAUUGUAGUAAUACAAGGCAGACGGCUCAGUAACGCGUAGUCAACCUACCCUAAGGAUGGGGAUAACCUCGGGAAACUGAGAAUAAUACCCGAUAGAACAUGGCUCCUGGAAUGGUUCAUGUUUCAAAUAAUUUAUUGCCUUAGGAUGGGACUGCGGCCUAUCAGUUUGUUGGUGAGGUAAUGGCCCACCAAGACUAUUACAGGUACGGGCUCUGAGAGGAGUGGCCCGGAGAUGGGUACUGAGACACGGACCCAGGCCCUAUGGGGCGCAGCAGGCGAGAAAACUUUGCAAUGUGCGAAAGC
rnacentral:rRNA from 1 species